rnacentral:rRNA from 1 species
GACGAACGCUGGCGGCGUGCUUAACACAUGCAAGUCGAACGGAAAGGCCCUGCUUUUGUGGGGUGCUCGAGUGGCGAACGGGUGAGUAACACGUGAGUAACCUGCCCUUGACUUUGGGAUAACUUCAGGAAACUGGGGCUAAUACCGGAUAGGAGCUCCUGCUGCAUGGUGGGGGUUGGAAAGUUUCGGCGGUGGGGGAUGGACUCGCGGGUUAUCAGCUUGUUGGUGGGGUAGUGGCUUACCAAGGCUUUGACGGGUAGCCGGCCUGAGAGGGUGACCGGCCACAUGGGGACUGAGAUAGGGCCCAGUCUCCUACGGGGGACAGCAGGGGGAAAUAUUGCACAAUGGGGGGGAGUCUGAUGCAGCAGCGCCGCGUGCGGGAAGACGGCCUUCGGGUUAUAAAGCGCUUUCGCCUGUGACGAAGCGUGAGUGACGGUAAUGGGAGAAGAAGCACCGGCUAACUACGUG